rnacentral:rRNA from 1 species
AACGCUAGCUACAGGCUUAACACAUGCAAGUCCAGGGGCAGCAUGAACUUAGCUUGCUAAGUUUGAUGGCGACCGGCGCACGGGUGAGUAACACGUAUCCAACCUGCCGAUGACUCGGGGAUAGCCUUUCGAAAGAAAGAUUAAUACCCGAUGGUAUCUUAAGCACACAUGUAAUUAAGAUUAAAGAUUUAUCGGUAAGCGAUGGGGAUGCGUUCCAUUAGGUAGUAGGCGGGGUAACGGCCCACCUAGCCGACGAUGGAUAGGGGUUCUGAGAGGAAGGUCCCCCACAUUGGAACUGAGACACGGUCCAAACUCCUACGGGAGGCAGCAGUGAGGAAUAUUGGUCAAUGGGCGCGAGCCUGAACCAGCCAAGUAGCGUGAAGGAUGAAGGUCCUAUGGAUUGUAAACUUCUUUUAUACGGGAAUAAAGUGGUCCACGUGUGGAUUUUUGCAUGUACCGUAUGAAUAAGCAUCGGCUAACUCCGUGCCAGCAGCCGCGGUAAUACGGAGGAUGCGAGCGUUAUCCGGAUUUAUUGGGUUUAAAGGGAGCGCAGACGGGGGAUUAAGUCAGUUGUGAAAGUUUGCGGCUCAACCGUAAAAUUGCAGUUGAUACUGGUUCCCUUGAGUGCAGUUGAGGCAGGCGGAAUUCGUGGUGUAGCGGUGAAAUGCAUAGAUAUCACGAAGAACUCCGAUUG